AGUGAACGCUGGCGGUAGGCCUAACACAUGCAAGUCGAACGGCAGCACAGUAAGAGCUUGCUCUUACGGGUGGCGAGUGGCGGACGGGUGAGGAAUACAUCGGAAUCUACUUUUUCGUGGGGGAUAACGUAGGGAAACUUACGCUAAUACCGCAUACGACCUACGGGUGAAAGCAGGGGAUCUUCGGACCUUGCGCGAUUGAAUGAGCCGAUGUCGGAUUAGCUAGUUGGCGGGGUAAAGGCCCACCAAGGCGACGAUCCGUAGCUGGUCUGAGAGGAUGAUCAGCCACACUGGAACUGAGACACGGUCCCGACUCCUACGGGAGGCAGCAGUGGGGAAUAUUGGACAAUGGGCGCAAGCCUGAUCCAGCCAUACCGCGUGGGUGAAGAAGGCCUUCGGGUUGUAAAGCCCUUUUGUUGGGAAAGAAAAGCAGCAGGUUAAUACCCCGCUGUUCUGACGGUACCUAAAGAAUAAGCACCGGCUAACUUCGUG
rnacentral:rRNA from 1 species